AUUGCACGCUGGCGGCAUGCCUUACACAUGCAAGUCGAACGGCAGCAUGGAGAGCUUGCUCUCUGAUGGCGAGUGGCGAACGGGUGAGUAAUGCAUCGGAACGUACCGUGUAAUGGGGGAUAACGUAGCGAAAGUUACGCUAAUGCCGCAUACGACCUGAGGGUGGAAGCAGGGGAUCGCAAGACCUUGCGUUAUACGAGCGGCCGAUGUCAGAUUAGCUAGUUGGUGAGGUAAAGGCUCACCAAGGCGACGAUCUGUAGCGGGUCUGAGAGGAUGAUCCGCCACACUGGGACUGAGACACGGCCCAGACUCCUACGGGAGGCAGCAGUGGGGAAUUUUGGACAAUGGGGGCAACCCUGAUCCAGCCAUGCCGCGUGAGUGAAGAAGGCCUUCGGGUUGUAAAGCUCUUUCGGCCGGGAAGAAAUCGCACAGGCUAAUACUCUGUGUGGAUGACGGUACCGGCAUAAGAAGCACCGGCUAACUACGUGCCAGCCGCCGCCGUAA
rnacentral:rRNA from 1 species